rnacentral:lncRNA from 1 species
UGACAAAAAGGCCGCUCCCCCAUGGUUUAAUAGAUAGAACUGAAUAUAAUGGUGUGGACCGAGUGAAUGAGACUGCCGUUGCUUCUAAUACAUGAUGGCAUUUAAAAAGAGUUUGCGAAAUUGAUUGGUACUGUGGCUGGCGCCUGAGAAAGCUGAACCGAAGGCAGAAAAGUUAAUGAUGUGUUGGGAAGACCUUUUUUUUCUUGGUACGAGUCGGGAAGACCUUUCGCCGGCGGGGGGUGUGUUGUGGGGUGUGUGAGAGAGCUCCGGCUACCUCCUACACCGAAGAAAGCGGAAUAAAGCGGAAAGCCAACGUUAUUACAUUCGAAAGGCGGUGGCCUUUUUUUUUUUUUGGGUUACAGCAAGCCCAUUGCUCUACAACCACCACCAACAAAUAAAAAUAAUAAAAAAAAAACCUCGUAAGUUGAGCUUGGAUGGGAUUUAGAGUCGAGGCAUUCUGGAUUGUCUUGACCAAAGACCUUGUAGCUAGAGUUGGGAU